CUUUCGUCUUUCCUUUCACCAUUUUACACUAAUUGGUUCUGUAUGUAUUUCCUUCUUAUGGGGCCUGAAGAUCUUUUGCUGUUUCGGCUUGCGAACGUGAGGAUUGCUCAUCAAUCGGGAUCCCUGAGGUCGAAAACGAAAGAGGGUAUCGCUCCAACCUUCGCAUUUCAUCGUCUUUUCUUGUGAAUGUUCAGCAGGGGCUCGUGACUCUGGUCAUUUUUGAGGAGGUUGGCAGGGACUGUUUUGCCCAUGUGUGCUAUUUGGUCGAAAUCUUGAAAAUUUGAGGGAAGUCAUUCCGUGGACUAGGCCUUGUAUUUGUCAUGCCAUAUUUGUUGAGGGCGGCACAGCACGUUCAACAGCAACUGCAAUACUCCAUCACCGUGGCAUUGAUCCCUCAACGUCGUUCCUGAUCGGUGCAGGAUUGCUGCUCACUUGGUGGGUGUGUGGCAUCUACAGGGGCCUAUUUCAGCAAAAAUUGCGUAGGAAAUAUCAUUUAAGGUUCUCUUUCUCUCUCUGUGACAGACGCCCAUGCAUAUGUUUUUGAAAUAUUAUUGUCCAUGGCACACUCUUGCCAUUUCUCAAAGUGCUACCCUGCCCUUUUUGUGAUGUUAGAAUUGUGUUAUCUUUAUUAGAGCAUGCUUUGAUUGUCUGAAUAAUCUUUACACCCUUGUAAAGCUUAUCGGUUAUUUUCACUAGUGAAGGCAGCAUACCACGUGGUGAGGAAAUUCAAGACUUCUUUCACCACCAUACAUCCUUUUAUACUUGGAAUCGGUUAAGGAAAGGUUGGUAGGAAAGACAUCCAAAUUUCUUCACCCAAGUUUUGAGUGCAAGCACACCUUAGGGAAAUUUCACCUCGCGGAAGUACUAUCCCGGCAAUUAAAUAUGUCUCAACUUCAAAGCAGUUAAACUCAGUCUAGUAGGUAUGUGGUAAAUGACUUGUUUGAAUGAGCAUGUGUCUAGUAGGUUAAACAGGGGAAGGCAAGGAUACACUUGAAGUUCAUGCCGACCCCACAAGUUUCUAUAUUUAGCUGUGAACUGGGAUUGGACAACCUUGCCGAUACAUGAUACAUAAUACAGGGGGCCUUUUGUUCUUAAAAGGGCAUUAAUUUUGGUGGAGUUUUUUUGUGCAAACGUCAAGAUUCUUUUGGACAGCAUUAUGAAGGAUGGCAAUGAUAUAGCUACCAAAGAAUGAUCUGGUUCAGUUCCACAAUUCACAGGCAUACAAGAUCUCAGGUAUCAAACUCAGGUCGGUGGAUGCCGAGUUAGGCAUCGUCAACUGCAUCGUGGACUGGGUUUGCCACAAGUUUCUGACCAAGGACGGGGUGCUGGAAGUGUUGGACAAGGACACGGGUCAACUGCAGCUAUGUCCACGAGGAGAUGAUGCUGCCUGCUGGUCUUCAUGGUGGCGCUGCUGUGCACAACCCGAUGCCCGGCCGUCCGGUCAUCCAUACGUGAUGUCGUCUCCAUGCUGCAAGAAGCAUAGCCAAAGAGAAAGGUGGUAAGUGCUUAUGUUCACGACAUCGACAACCAUGGUGUAAGUAAAAGUUAGCGUUCAUGUACUAUAUUGAAAUUGAAUUGAACUGGAUUCUUUGAUCGGCCGG